rnacentral:rRNA from 1 species
GUAGGGAAUAUUGGGCAAUGGUCGGAAGACUGACCCAGCCAUGCCGCGUGCAGGAAGACGGCCCUCUGGGUUGUAAACUGCUUUUAUCUGGGAAGAAAAAGGCCAUGCGUGGCAAAUUGCCGGUACCAGAUGAAUAAGCACCGGCUAACUCCGUGCCAGCAGCCGCGGUAAUACGGAGGGUGCGAGCUUUGUCCGGAUUUAUUGGGUUUAAAGGGUGCGUAGGCGGCUGAUUAAGUCAGCGGUGGAAGACUUCGGCUUAACCGGAGCAGUGCCGUUGAUACUGGUUGGCUUGAGUGUCGGAGGGGUACAUGGAAUUGAUGGUGUAGCGGUGAAAUGCAUAGAUACCAUCAGGAACACCGAUAGCGAAGGCAUUGUACUGGCCGACAACUGACGCUGAUGCACGAAAGUGUGGGGAUCGAACAGGAUUAGAAACCCCAGUAGUCC